AUUAACCAGCUGACCUUAAGAUAGGGAAACUACUCAUCUAAUCACACGGGCCCUUUAAAAGCGGAGUGUUUUCUUUGGCUGGAGGCAGAAGAGGAAAUCUUAGAGAUUCCAAGCCUGAGAAGGACUCAACCCACAAUUACUGGCUUUGAGGAUGGAGCAAGGGGGCAAUGAGCCAAGGAAUACAGAUACCUUGACUAUGAAUAAUAGUUUCAAUAAGGAAGACAGAAUGAGUUCUGACACGAUGGUUGGGAGCUGUGACAGGCAGACGAAAAAUGGAGCCAAAUGGCAUGGAGGUGUCAUGAUGUUGGAACAGUAACAAUAACUCAACCAACCAGGGCUUGUCUGAAUACAAUCCUACAGCAGCAGGAGCUGUGGAGAUAUAGAAGGCAAGGAAGACCAGGUUGUGAGGGAAGACGAAUUUACUCCCAGGAAUGUUGGGAUUGAGAGUAAUAUUCUCCAAUAAUGGUGGAAGACAGAACAAUAAAAGCCCACCAGCUCCUUCUGCAUGGUGGGAUAAGAGAAAAGCCAAGGGCAGAAGUGAGAAAAAUAACCAUCACCAAACUGAAAAGAAAACCUUUAUAAAAAAACUGGAUUGAUAAAUGACCUUUAGUAGUGGAAAGAUACCAUUCCAAUGAAGCAUGAAUUGAAAGGAUUUCUUCUGAAAGCUAAUUUACAUUUUUCUUUUUUUUUUUUUCAUUUUCAGUGUGUUUUAGCAGGUGUAUUGUUCUACAUGGUUAGUUUCUUUACCUCUUUGAGAAAAAUGGGUCAGCUUGACACAUCUGGAUGAAAGAAUCCGUUAGGUGAUUAUGAUUGAAGACAGAUUAAGCCUUGUUAUGAGGGGAAUAUUUGGGGGCUUACCCUGAGGUGAUAUUUGAUGAUUUAGCUGUGGGAGAAUUUCCCUCCCAAGAUCAGCGUGACUGACACUGAAAUUGCUACAGGGGAACCGGACCUUUCCAAGAGGUGACAAGGACAUUUACCUGGUACAACACAAUGGUUCUGGACUGGAAGUCUAGUCCCAUUGAUGAAGUUCCCAAAAGAUGUCCAGGUCCUAAUCCCUGGAAUCUGUGAAUAUGUCAUCUUACACAUCAAAAGAACUUUGAAAAUGUGAUUGAGGUUAAGGACCUUGGAAUGAGGAGAUUACCUUGGAUUAUCUGGUUGGGUCCAAGCUAAUCACAUGAGUCCUUAAAGGAGAAGAACCUUUUUUAGCUGGGUCAGAGAGAGAUGUGAUGAUGAAAACAGGCUCAGGGAGAUGCACUGUAAGAAGGGCUUGACCAGUUGUUUUUGACUUUGAAGAUGGAGGGAAGGGCCAGGAGCCAAGGAAGGUGGGUGGCUUUUGGAAGGUGGAAAAAGCAAGGGAACAUUCUCUCCAGAGCCUCCAGAAAGGAGCUCAGCCCUGUUGACAUCUUUGUUUUUAUUUUUUAUUUUUAGUAGCAUUGAGGUCUCACUAUGUUGCACAGGCUGGUCUUGAACUCUUGAGCUCAAGCACUCCUCCCGCCUUGGCUUCCCAAAGUGCUGGGAUUAUAGGCAUGUGCCACCACAUCUGGCUUCCUACUGACAUCUUAACUUUAGUGCAGUGAGACUCAUAUUUGAAUUUCUGACCUUAUAUUAUAGAACCAUAAGACAUUAUAGAAUUAUAUAGAAUUAUAGAACCAUAAGACAAUAACUUUGUGUUGUUUUAAGAUACUAAAUUUUUGGUAAUUUGUUAUGGCAGCACAAUAAAACCAAUAUAGCAUUAUAUUAUGCCAAUAUCAUCUCUUUGUUGACUAUUGCUAUUAUAGUUUGUUUUAUGGGUCUUGUGUAAACAAUCAAGCUAUAAUAUUGGGUUAACUCCCUAAGGAAAACUUGGAAUAUAGAACAUUAUUUUAAAGACUGAAUUAGGUAAAUACACCUGCCAGUGAAUACAUUAACAAAUUAAUUAAUAUAUUCACUCUUUUCACUCACAAAUACUUUUUGAGCCCCUAUUACUAGCCAAACAUUUUGUUAGAUUCUGAGAAGGGUCUGCUAGACAACAUUGUGACUAUAGUUAAUAACAAUAUAUUGUACUCUUGAAAAUUACUAAGAGAGUAGAUUUUAAGUGUUCUCACCACAAAAAAUAAGUAUGUGAGGUAAUGCAGAUGUUAGUUAGCUUGAUUUAGCCAUUCCCCAGUGUAUACAUAUUUCAAACCUUCAUAUUAUACAUGGAUAAAUAUAUACAAUUUUUAUUUGUCAAUUAAAAGCCCCUCGAUGAAUACAGUUUCCAUUCUGUCCUUGAGGUGGAGCUUGUAGACUUGGUGGGGUCCGGGGAUCAACUUUUAAACAGGCAGUUCCAAAGUGUGGAGUGGAUAGGCUUAUUCUCUUUGUUGCUUUUAUGAUAGGUAUUUAGAAUGCACUUUCCUCUGUUAAGUUAAGCCAGCCACCAUUCCCUCAUUCAGUUUCCAUCCUCCAUGAAUUUGCUCACAUCUGCGGUCUACUGUCACUCAUUCUUUCCUUCUCUUCCUGAGGGCUUGUGUGACUUAUGUUCUUGGCUUUCUCUUAGGAACAUGGUGCAGCUUGGCCCUGCAUUAUCCAUCUGGAAAAACAGAUCAUAAAACAGUCCUUCUCUGUACUAAGUGCUAAAGUAGGAGGAAGGGCAUAAGUCAGCUCCCUGAGCUAUAUAUCCUUGUUUUCAGGAGCUGAGCUAGACACAAGCAGAACUUGCAAAUAAUUUACAUUUCUUUCUGCUGAGGUGGUUCAGAAUAAGUUGCAACAAACAUGAACAGGAAUGGUGCAGUAAAU
rnacentral:lncRNA from 1 species